rnacentral:rRNA from 1 species
GAUGAACGCUGGCGGCGUGCCUAAUACAUGCCAGUAGAACGCUGAAGGAAGGAGCUUGCUCUUUCCGGAUGAGUUGCGAACGGGUGAGUAACGCGUAGGUAACCUGCCUGGUAGCGGGGGAUAACUAUUGGAAACGAUAGCUAAUACCGCAUAACAGUAGAUGUUGCAUGAUAUCUACUUAAAAGGUGCAAUUGCACCACUACCAGAUGGACCUGCGUUGUAUUAGCUAGUUGGUGAGGUAACGGCUCACCAAGGCGACGAUACAUAGCCGACCUGAGAGGGUGAUCGGCCACACUGGGACUGAGACACGGCCCAGACCCCUACGGGAGGCAGCAGUAGGGAAUCUUCGGCAAUGGACGGAAGUCUGACCGAGCAACGCCGCGUGAGUGAAGAAGGUUUUCGGAUCGUAAAGCUCUGUUGUAAGAGAAGAACGAGUGUGAGAGUGGAAAGUUCACACUGUGACGGUAUCUUACCAGAAAGGGACGGCUAACUACGUG